ACACAUUCUAUGACGAGAAAGAGUACGCUUUUAAUCUGAUCCACAGAGAGUUGGGUACGGUGCAAACCAACGUUCAGAUGCUAGCUGAAGCCAUCUCCGAGAAGCAGGCUGAAAUAACCAACUAGGUGCUGCCGCAUGUCCAGCGUUAACGGGAACACGUAUUGAUAGAUACGUAGCAGAGUGUCACUUUGUGUACGCACAAAGUGGAACUAGGGUGGUAACACGGGUAAAAGACUCGUCCCUUUU
rnacentral:ncRNA from 1 species